AUGCCCCCAGGGCACACCCAGUUCCCGUUGGAGCAGGGCAGUGCCAGUCUCCUGCAAAGGGGCCUUGGGUGGGAACGGGCCCGGAGUGGGAGGAACGUGACUCCCCAGAGGGAAGAUGGGCGUCGUCCUGGGCCCAGAGCUGGGAAGGAGUUGCUGCCCACACAGGGUGGGCCUGGGCUCCCCUCGCCCCUACCCCCAGUGGCUGUAGCACUGAGCCUGGAGAGCAGGCCCGGCCCGGGGUGGCUGGGAGGCUGCCAGGGGCCUCCCAGAGCUCCCAAGGGCCCCCACCUGCAAGGACCAGCCUCAGGGCAGUGCCGGGAUGAGGCCCUGUCAGUGGCCGCCAGCAAUGCCUCGGGAUGCUCACUGGGAGGGAGGCGGCUUUGGGCUCCCGCGUCCUUGGGAGAGGCUGGGAGCAGUCACUGCGCGGCUUGCGCAAGCCCCUUGUCGGGUCGGGUGGCUUCCUCAGCCAGGGCUGGGAGGGCACCAGGAUCAGGUCCUCCCUGUCUCGCGUCUCAGUGGGGUGAUGGGGAGGAGACCUGGCCAGCCGUGGCUCAGGGGCAGCUGAGAACAAGGACCUGCUGGAGCUGGAAGUGCCGUGGUGUUGAGGGGUGGGGUGGGCAGCUUCUCACACCUGCCUCCUGCCUCCAUCUGUCCACCUUUCCCCCACCCUGACCUGUCCCAGCCCCACACAUGGUUCUGCCUGGCUGGCCUGCCCUUGGCACCUGGCGUAGAGCACACAGAAGGCACUCGGCUAAUGCUGGGCAGGCCCACUCAUGGGGAGUGCGUGGCUGUGCAGCACCAGGGAACCGGCACAGCAGCGCCGGCAGAAAUCACAGCAGUAAACUCGUCCGGGUUGUAUGCAUCAAGGUGGCGACAGACGUGGGUCCCCCCACUGCACUGUGGCCCUGAGCAGUGUAUAGCAGCCCUGCAAUGGGAGCCAUUAUCUUGCCCCUUUGACAGAGGAGGAAACUGAGGCACAGGGAGGUGAAGUAGCUGCCACACACUAGUGCCUCCUGGCUCACUCACCACCCCCUGCACCACAGUGCAGCCGCUUCUCCCACCAGCUGAGGUUCCUUAGACCCCCAAGCCUGGGAAUGGGGAGGUGAGUUUACAAAAUGGAAAGCUUAAAAGGAGAAAAGUGGAACCAGAGGGUGGAGAAGCCCUCAGUGGUAGAGUAAGGCCUCCAGUGCUGCCUCCGGGUGCAGGGCAGAGCGGCAGAGGAAAGGGGGAGAGGCACCGGGCACCAUGGGGGCCCAGUUCCCACUUCGGGGAUCUCUCUGGCAGAACCAAGGGUCCCCUUCAUGGGGGUAGAUGCCCAGGGCUAGCCGUUGCCACUGUCUGUGUGGACCUGAGUCCUGGGCAUGCCCGAGUGACUCAGCAGUGGCUGCUUGGGCGGGCUCUGGCACCCUAGCAUGUUAUCCAUUCUGGGAACUGGAGUCAGCCACUAGAGAAGUUGGAGCUGCAGGAAGUGACCCUGGGGUGGGACCUGGGGACAUGGCCGGGUCGGCAUGGGACACCUGGCUCCAGCAGGAGCUCUGGUCUGUCCUGGUGUCUUUGGGGGCAGGGCUGCGGCCCUGGGCAGGCUUCCUCCAGGUGGAGGUCCUGGGAAAGUGGGGGAGCCAGGCUGGCUGCCGCCUCCCCCACUACGUAGCGUCUGAUUCGUCCUCUCCCAUGAAGGUGAUUUGGUUCAUAACCCUGAAACUCUGAAAAAGGUCCAAAGAGGAGAGAGGCCCUCGGUGGAGAUGCCGAGCUUUUCUGCAGGUGCUUUGUCCCACUGCUCUGGGUGGUCUGCGCUCGUCUUCAAGCCUCAGCUCGCGGGGAGGGCCUGAAUCUGCCAGCCCCUCUCAGCAUCUCCUUCCCUCUGGGCCCUCCCCAGCCUUAAGGAGCCUCCCAGACAGAAGGGUGGACAGAGCCACCUGGGCAGCCCGAGAGACACACGGGGGUCCUCCCUGUGGACAGCCCUGCCAGCUUCCGCCCAGCCCUGAGCUUCGUUUGCAUUUUGAGUAAGGGGUGGUGAAAUGGGAAUGCUGGUCCGGCUCAGCUGGUCGUGGGCAUAAGUGCCCGCUGGAUGGAUGGCGUCUCUCCCUCCUGUCUUCUGUCCUGGGAUCCAGGUGCUUCCCAGGGCCAUACCCCUGCUGCUAAUGCCCUAACCCUUACCCUAACCAGCAUCCAGCGUCGUCUCACCGAGCCAUGAAUAAAUCAGCGGAUUCGC